rnacentral:lncRNA from 1 species
AUGACCUGGGAGCCCUCAGGCAUCCCGGGGCCUGGUCGGAGUGUCUUCGGGCCCUGGAGCUGGGCGGUGUCUGCAGUGCACCGCCGUGAGUUUCUCUCGGGUACAAUGUGCUGGUGUGCAGAGAGGAGGAAAGGAAAAAAAAAAAAAAACAAAAAAAAAAAAACACUACUCUUAAGUGGCACUGGCAUCUAUGAAGUGGCGGUGGUCUACACUGAGCGUGCCCUUGCCUGGAGGUGUAGGGGGCGGUUACUGCAGCCGAGGGGAGGGUACUGCGGCCAAGGGCAGGGCGGGAGGACAGUCAAGGCCGGCUGGCCGCGUGGGAGCCUUUCCUCUCCGGGUUCAGCGGCCGGCAUCACCAGCACUGCGGCUAAAGGGGCUGGUAGGCUCUCCUGCACCCCGCGUGCUCCUCCGCCUUCUCUGUGUCCCCCGGCUUUUCCAGGAGGAAGAUGGGGUGCCCAUCGUGAAUGGGGCGCGCUGGGCCGCCUGGCCGGGCGGUCACGUGUCCCCCCUCCCCCGCCACUGCGGCUGGAGUUCCAAUCAGAGCUCGCCAGGGGGCUCCUCCCGGGCAGGAACCACCCGGCUCGGCGGCGGAGGGUGGGCCGCCGUCACCUGACCGCCCGCCCCCGCCCCCCGCGAGUAAGGGGCGGUGGUAGCGUCUGCUCGGUUACAAAUGGCCCCUCCCGCCCGGCUCGCCCGCUCGCUUGGGCUCGGCGCGGACCCGCCUGGGCGUGCUCCUCCCGCCGGCUCCAGGCGUCCCACCGCCCUGCCCGGCGCCAGCCCGCGGUCCCAGCCACUCCUGAGGGUGCGCCGGGCACCCAGCGCGUAGGCUCACCCUUGGUGGUGGCCACGGAAGUCUGGACCGCCGAGGCGUGUGGCUUGUCUACCGGCAGGUGUUCUUUUGAUCACAAUGGAUAGUGACUCUUCUCUUCUGCCUGAGAGUGGUUCAAAAUAGUGAAGGAUGAGUUUGGACUUCUCAAUUUGUGUCCAGAACAAGGAUGGAGAGGCUCAGCAGCACCAACAG